ACUAUUGUCACGGGUUACCGCGGCUGCUGGCACGGAGUUAGCCGGUGCUUCUUCUGUGAGUGAUGUCCUUCCUGCCGGUUAUUGACCCGCAGGCCUUCUUCCUCACUGAAAGUGCUUUACAACCCGAAGGCCUUCUUCACACACGCGGCAUGGCUGGAUCAGGGUUGCCCCCAUUGUCCAAUAUUCCCCACUGCUGCCUCCCGUAGGAGUCUGGGCCGUGUCUCAGUCCCAGUGUGGCUGAUCAUCCUCUCAGACCAGCUACGGAUCGUCGCCUUGGUGAGCCGUUACCUCACCAACCAGCUAAUCCGACAUAGGCUCAUCCGAUAGCGCGAGGCCCGAAGGUCCCCCG
rnacentral:rRNA from 1 species